rnacentral:rRNA from 1 species
GAUGAACGCUGGCGGCGUGCCUAAUACAUGCAAGUCGAGCGAACAGACGAGGAGCUUGCUCCUCUGACGUUAGCGGCGGACGGGUGAGUAACACGUGGAUAACCUACCUAUAAGACUGGGAUAACUUCGGGAAACCGGAGCUAAUACCGGAUAAUAUAUUGAACCGCAUGGUUCAAUAGUGAAAGACGGUUUUGCUGUCACUUAUAGAUGGAUCCGCGCCGCAUUAGCUAGUUGGUAAGGUAACGGCUUACCAAGGCAACGAUGCGUACCCGACCUGAGAGGGUGACCGGCCACACGGGAACUGAGACACGGCCAAGACUCCGACGGGAGGCAGCAGUGGGGAAGAUUGGACAAUGGGCGAAAGCCUGAAGAAGCAACACCGCGUGAGUGAAGAAGGUCUUCGGGUCGUAAAGCUCUUUUAUUGGGAAAGAAAAAAAGUAGAAGAAAACAUCCCUGUUUUGACGGUACCUAAAGAAAAAGCACCGGCUAACUUCGUG